GCCGUAGCAUUAAGCUAUCACUUGAUGGUGAGGUUUCUAAUAAAAAAAUGGCGUAGGACAAAUUCAAGGCAAUCAGGCUAUGGCUCAAUAAUGUUUUAUUGCCAAGCUUCGAGUAGAAGGCCAGCCAUCCCAAGCAGAGGCUCGACCCAAACUUCCAAUAGGGUUGGAUGCCUGAGAUGAUCUGGCUGAAGAAUGUGCCCAACCAUCUGAGGACCUUCAAGAGGUUCCAUUGAAAAAAGAGAAUCCCAAUUAGACUGUGAAGAUCGGCUCACAUUUUGACGAGAUAAUAAAAGAUCGGCUAACCAUUGUUUUGUAGAAAAAUGUGGAUCUCUUUGCUUGAUCGGCCACAGACAUGUCUGGCAUAGAUCCAAAAGUUAUGUCCCUCUAUCUAAAGGUGGAUCCAAUCUGU
rnacentral:lncRNA from 1 species